rnacentral:tRNA from 1 species
GAGAAAUUAGUUUAACUUAAAACAUUAGUUUGUCAAACUAAAGAUACUUCUUAAUUAUUUCUUA